GAUACGAUUGUGGUGUAUAUGUUAUCAAGUUUAUGCUAGCACCAGAAGAAGUGACAAGUCCUGAUUUUGUGUUCGGCAGCGAUAACGAGAGGUUGGAAGUGGUACUAAGAUUGCUAGCGAGUGAUGUCAACUCAUGCAGGAAUGAUUUGGCUUCCAAGGCUGAGGCAUAUUAUGAGCAGAGGUUUGGAAAUCAUUGAGGUUUUUUGGUAAGAAAUGAGAAUAUGACAGGCAUUAAUCAUCGAUAGGAAAGAAAGUAUUCAGACAACAUAUAGGAAUUCAACAUCAAGGAAGCUUACCAGAGAAUGUGGGCUCCAUGAGAAAGGAACUCAAUGCUCAUCUAAUCAGAUGUGAACGGCCAUCAUUGUAAACAAAAUAGUAUAACUGGUAUAGGCAUAAAAUGGGAAUAUGGGAAACAGUCAUCAGGUUGCCUUGCCCCUCCUGCACAUUCCUGUGGAGAUUUCUGGCUGAAAUAAAAACUAUGAGUUGUUUCAUCAUUUCAUAUAUACUAUGUAAAUAUUAUAUAAA